rnacentral:rRNA from 1 species
AUGAAGCCCUUCUCGCGGAGCCUGCAGCGAGAUCUGGACGCCGCGGCCGUCGACGACGACGGCGAUGGCAAGCAGUACUCCGCCGAGGACGGCGGCGGCAAGCAGAACCCCGAGAGGGGCGCACGGCGGCCGUCCCGGCUCUUCUACCUCGCGCUCCUCUACGUCGUCUUCUGGGGGCUGGUAUUCUACCACCACUUCUCCACCAGCAUGCAGCAGUCAGUCAGCGCGGCGGUGGCAGCGCCCGCCGUGCUCCAGCUCAAGCCGGCGGCCUUCUUCUCGGUGCCCCGCAUCUUCCGCCGCGACCCGUGCGCCGGCCGCUACGUGUACAUGUACGACCUGCCGCCGCGGUUCAACGCCGACCUCGUCCGCCAGUGCCGCCGGAUCUCGGGCUCCACCGACGUCUGCAAGGACGUGGCCAACGACGGGUUCGGCCCGCAGAUCACGGGCGGCGGUGAGAGCGGGUCGCUGCCGGAGAGCGGGGCCUACGACACCGACCAGUACAUGCUCGGCCUCAUCUUCCACGCCCGGAUGCGGCGGCACGAGUGCCUCACCGCCAACCCCGCCGCCGCCGCCGUGGUGUACGUCCCGUUCUACGCCGGGCUCGACUCGGCGAUGCACCUCGGGAGCAAAGACCUCGCGGCGCGGGACGCGCUGUCGCGGGACGUGGUGGACUGGCUGUUGCAGCGGCCAGAGUGGCGCGCCAUGGGCGGCCGCGACCACUUCCUGGUGUCCGGGCGGGGCACGUGGGACUUCAUCGUCAGCCCCGACGCCGUCGGCUGGGGCAACGCGCUCAUGACCUUCCCGGCCAUCCUCAACGCCACGUUCCUCACCACCGAGGCCAGCCCAUGGCACGGAAACGACUUCGCCGUGCCGUUCCCGUCGCACUUCCACCCGUCGUCCGCCGCCGAGGUCGCCGGCUGGCAGGACCGCAUGUACCAGAUGGACCGCCCGUUUCUCUGGGGCUUCGCCGGCGGGCCCCGCGGCGGCAGCCAGCGCACGGUGCGCGCCCAGAUCAUGGAGCAGUGCGGCAGGUCGAGCCGGUGCGCGCUGCUGGGCGUGCCGGCGCCGGGGCACUACGCGCCGGGCCGCGCCAUCCGGCUGCUGGAGAGCGCCGAGUUCUGCGUGCAGCCGCGCGGCGAUGGGUACACGCGCAAGUCCACCUUCGACACCAUCCUCGCCGGCUGCAUCCCGGUCUUCUUCCACCCGGUCUCCGCCUACCUCCAGUACAUCUGGCACCUGCCGAGGGACCACCGGAGCUACUCGGUGUUCAUCCCGCACGGCGACGUGGUGGAGCGGAACGCCAGCAUCGAGGAGGUGCUGAGCAGGAUACCGCCGGCGAAGGUGGCGCGGAUGCGGGAGCGGGUCAUCCGGCUCAUCCCCACCGUGCUGUACCGGGACCCGGCGGCCAAGGGCGUGACGUUCAAGGACGCGUUCGACGUCGCCCUCGAGCGCGUCAUCGACCGGGUGGCGAAGCGCCGGCGCGCCGCCGCCGAGGGACGGGAGUACGUGGACAGCGUCGACGGGAAAUUUAGCUGGAAGUACGACCUGGCACAAGAUAGGGAGAAAAUGUUGGCUCCGCACGAGUUCGAUCCAUAUAUCAACACGUAA